GAUCCUGGCUCAGGAUGAACGCUGGCGGCGUGCUUAACACAUGCAAGUCGAACGAUCCUUCGGGAUAGUGGCGGAUGGGUGAGUAACGCGUGGGAAUCUGCCCUCAGGAGGGGGAUAACGGCUGGAAACGGCCGCUAAUACCCCAUAUGCCGAGAGGUGAAAUGAAUUUCGCCUGAGGAUGAGCCCGCGUCUGAUUAGCUAGUUGGUGGGGUAAAGGCCUACCAAGGCAACGAUCAGUAGCUGGUCUGAGAGGAUGAUCAGCCACACUGGGACUGAGACACGGCCCAGACUCCUACGGGAGGCAGCAGUGGGGAAUUUUCCGCAAUGGGCGAAAGCCUGACGGAGCAACGCCGCGUGAGGGAUGAAGGCCUCUGGGCUGUAAACCUCUUUUCCCAAGGAAGAAGACCUGACGGUACUUGAGGAAUAAGCCACGGCUAAUUCCGUGCCAGCAGCCGCGGUAAUACGGGAGUGGCAAGCGUUAUCCGGAAUUAUUGGGCGUAAAGCGUCCGCAGGCGGCCUUGUAAGUCUGUUGUUAAAGCGUGGAGCUCAACUCCAUUUAAGCAAUGGAAACUACAAGGCUGGAGUGUGGUAGGGGCAGAGGGAAUUCCCGGUGUAGCGGUGAAAUGCGUAGAUAUCGGGAAGAACACCAGUGGCGAAGGCGCUCUGCUGGGCCAUAACUGACGCUCAUGGACGAAAGCCAGGGGAGCGAAAGGGAUUAGAUACCCCUGUAGUCCUGGCCGUAAACGAUGAACACUAGGUGUCGGGGGAAUCGACCCCCUCGGUGUCGUAGCCAACGCGUUAAGUGUUCCGCCUGGGGAGUACGCACGCAAGUGUGAAACUCAAAGGAAUUGACGGGGGCCCGCACAAGCGGUGGAGUAUGUGGUUUAAUUCGAUGCAACGCGAAGAACCUUACCAGGGUUUGACAUCCUGCGAACCCCUGAGAAAUCGGGGGGUGCCUUCGGGAGCGCAGAGACAGGUGGUGCAUGGCUGUCGUCAGCUCGUGUCGUGAGAUGUUGGGUUAAGUCCCGCAACGAGCGCAACCCACGUCUUUAGUUGCCAGCAUUCAGUUGGGCACUCUAGAGAGACCGCCGGUGAUAAACCGGAGGAAGGUGUGGAUGACGUCAAGUCAUCAUGCCCCUUACAUCCUGGGCUACACACGUACUACAAUGCUACGGACAAAGGGCAGCAAGCUCGCGAGAGUUAGCAAAUCCCAUAAACCGUGGCUCAGUUCAGAUCGUAGGCUGCAACUCGCCAACGUGAAGGAGGAAUCGCUAGUAAUCGCAGGUCAGCAUACUGCGGUGAAUACGUUCCCGGGCCUUGUACACACCGCCCGUCACACCAUGGU
rnacentral:rRNA from 1 species